rnacentral:rRNA from 1 species
UACGUAGGGUGCAAGCGUUGUCCGGAAUUAUUGGGCGUAAAGAGCUCGUAGGCGGUUCGUCGCGUCGGCUGUGAAAUCCCGAGGCUCAACCUCGGGUCUGCAGUCGAUACGGGCGGACUGGAGUUCGGCAGGGGAGACUGGAAUUCCUGGUGUAGCGGUGAAAUGCGCAGAUAUCAGGAGGAACACCGGUGGCGAAGGCGGGUCUCUGGGCAGUAACUGACGCUGAGGAGCGAAAGCGUGGGGAGCAAACAGG